UCUUUAAAACCUACACAGAGAAGCCAGAUUUAAGGUUUUAGUGGUUAAACAGAUAAAGACAUACAAAAAGCCAAAUCAGUUGCCAGUACUGUAACAAAGCUUUGAUGCUGUGAGAAUGUAAUGUAUUUCUCUGGCUCUGUGGCAGGUCGUGUUACAGCCUGAUUGGAACAAACGUCCAAAGUACAUCACUGAAUUCCAAGAUCAAUAGUUAUUGUGAUCGAUUGUUUUAAACAUUAUCUCAAAACAGGUGCCAGAAAAUUCAGUUUGGGGCUUAAAGUGAUCACGUCUAAAUUUUCUCUCUAUAGUGUGUAUUUUUUGAAAAAAUUGUUUUGCCUGGUGCAAGACUGAAACAAUGUUUGCAGGACAGAAAAGUAUCCCUGAAUGUGUAUUUAAUGGCCACCAUGAUGAGUUGAUGGUUUGUACAUUUACCUGUGGUGCCUUUCUGCUUUUUUAUAUGAUGUGAAUUGAGACAGUAUGUUUGGACUUCAAUGUGUCAACCCUACUCAUUACUGUUUUGAAAGUGCAGUCCAUGAUCUUGUGAUGGAGUGUGACAGUGAGCAGUGAGGUCCAGAGAAACAGAGUGGGCUGCUGUAGAGAAUUUGCAGUGAAGGUUGCAGUCCGUCCGUUAAUAGAUGCUGCAGUGUCUCUAGUCAAAGGAGAAGUUUCUGUGUUAUUUGCCACGCUGUUGAGGAAGUAAAAUGUGUGGGAGCACUCUGUGCCACCCCCGGCUGCCCACGUCGCCUCCGCUAAAUCCGCCACUGAUCUGGAGAUACCCUCACAAAUAAUACUCCCACCAAAUUUGGUGAAAAUCCGUGGAGAGGCCUUUGUGAACGUUAUGAUGCCUGUAACAUUAUCCAGCAUGAUCGGUUUGGCGGUGGGUCAGUGAUGGUCUGGGGAGGCAUAUCCUUGGAGUGUCGUACAGUACUCCAUGUCAUAGCCAACAGUACCCUGACAGGUGUUAGGUACCAGGAUAUCCUCAGAGCGGUUGUUAGACCUUACGAUGAUGCAGUUGGCCAUGUGUUCCUCCUUGCAGGACAAUGCCUGGCCUCAUGUGACCAGAGUGUUUAGGCAGUUCCUGGAUGAUGAAAGCAUUGAUGCCAUUGACUGGCCCUCUUGGUUCCCUGACCUAAAUCCAAUUGAGCACCUAUGGGAUAUUAUGUAUUGGUGCAUAGACGCUGCCAAGUACCACCACCGACUGUCCAGGAUUUUACUGAUGCCCUGAUCCAGGUCUGGGAGGACAUCCCCCAGGAAACAAUCCGCCAACUCAUCAGGAGCCCAGACGUUGUCGGGAGGUCAUACAGGCACAUGGGGGCCAUACAAUAUGCAAAAUAUGAUGUGGUUAUCGCACCUGGCUCACCUUUACAGGUACUCUCCCCUGCACCAUCUUUGAGCCAGUAGCAUCGCUCUCGUUUCUCUCUCUCCUACAAUGCACCUCCUGUCCUGGGGUCUGGGCCUGAGUUGGGUGGCUUCUUUGGGUUUUCAAAUGGGCACCCCCCUUCAUCAAUGUUUUGUCGAAUUAAGCCCAGCACAUCUCCACGGGAUCAACGGUAGACCCAGUGUCCUGGGACUACCCCCACUGUCCACCACUCAACUCAGUGCUGUUGUUGUUGCCCAUCACCAGGUUGUUUCUGCCAACGCUCACUGCGCUUUAUCCAGAUCCAACGGGAUGCUGUCUCUGCCUGUUUGCUAACGUCAGCUACCAUCCGCUUCCUAGCCAUGCCUUCUAUUCCCAGCAGCCCAAGACUUCGCCAGAGUGAGUUCCCUGGGAAGCCCCUGGAGCGCUAUUUUGUGCCUCCUCAAUCCUCUCCUCCCAGGGCACUGUCAACUCCAUAAACAUGACCUGCUGGGUGCUUCCUGACCAAAGGACAAUGUCUGGUCUGAGGCAUGUGGUUGUUAUCUUUUCUGGGAAUUUGAGCUGUUUCUUGAGGGCUACCCGCAUCUCCCAGUCGCUUACUGUAGUUAAGAUCCCUCUGCUCCUAGUCUCCACCACGCCAGCCUUUCCUGCUCUGAGAAAGUGGAUAUACCGGUGGGCCUUGGAAUGUUGUCUUGGCUUCUUCCUUGCCUGCUCCAUACCAGUAGCAAACUGGGCCAGAAUCUGGUCAUUUAGCCACCGGAAUUUCCCAUCCGCCAGGCUUGAUCUGCAUGAUGAGAGUAGGGUUGUCACCAGAACUGAUACUACGGUACCAAGUCUGUCCAAACAUUAGGAAAACCAGAUGGUACUUGUUCUUCUGCAGUAGCGUAAGUACCGUAGGAACCGAGCAGGAUUUCCGGAACUGAUGGGGGCAGCAUAUAGCCUACAAGUGUUGUGGUCUGUCCUCAAAUGGUAAAGAAGAAGAAGAACUCCCUCCAGCACACUGGAAAAGUACGGGAGGAACACAACAACAAGUUGUGCACCGUCCCAACAAGAGUCGGAUGCGUUCGAGGUAGAUGAAUACGACGUUAUAAUUAAUGUGCUGAAGUCAAUAUGCAAACGAUGCCAUCGCGCAUUUCAAACCACAGGAGUUAACAGCUGACAGACGGGCAUCAAGAUCAGUUCAAAGAAUUCAAGUAUGAGCCAGAAGAGGAUCCACCAGGAGCAAAGUCAGCAAACAAUAUCAGAAGCUCUUAAUUUAUUUGUUAUAUCUUGAAGUCAUGACUUCCAAUAUGUGCCAUAAUAAAGUUGAUUGCAUAGUAUUGCACAUCUUUUUUUGUAAUGUUAAAUUUCUUCUUUUAAAUGGCUACAUGCCACUAUUAUUGUUUCUGUAAUGUUCAAAUAUUUUUUUAAUAAAGGAGUUAUUGUUUAAGUAUAA